UAGGGAAUCUUCGGCAAUGGGGGGAACCCUGACUGAGCAACGCCGCGUGAGUGAAGAAGGUUGUCGGAUCGUAAAGCUCUGUUGUUAAGGAAGAACGAGUGUGAGAAUGGAAAGUUCAUGCUGUGACGGUACUUAACCAGAAAGGGACGGCUAACUACGUGCCAGCAGCCGCGGUAAUACGUAGGUCCCGAGCGUUGUCCGGAUUUAUUUGGCAUAAAGCGAGCGCAGGCGGUUAGAAAAGUCUGAAGUGAAAGGCAGUGGCUCAACCAUUGUAGGCUUUGGAAACUGUUUAACUUGAGUGCAGAAGGGGAGAGUGGAAUUCCAUGUGUAGCGGUGAAAUGCGUAGAUAUAUGGAGGAACACCGAUGGCGAAAGCGGCUCUCUGGUCUGUAACUGACGCUGAGGCUCGAAAGCGUGGGGAGCGAACAGG
rnacentral:rRNA from 1 species